AUGACUCCUCCAAGCUGCCAUGCAUUCCUGAGGCUCCUGAUAAAUCUACAGAUGUUAUCUACCUCUCUUAUGGUCAGCUCAUUAUUUGAAUCCCAGCAUCUCAGAGAAACCUCUUCAUGGACCAAUAGAAAAGGGACAGAAAAGUUCCACUGGGAUGCUCAUACACUUUUCGUGGACUUGGCUCCCCCUGGUCCUGAUUUCCAUCUGCUAAACAAGGUAGUCCUGUGUGGGAGUCUGUUUUCCCAUAUUCCAGGUACAAGGUGGCAUUCCAGUGGGGCUGCUGCAGGUAUACCAGAAGCCUGGCCAGGAACCCCAUCAUUCACACCAGGCACAUCAACCCUGACUUUAGUAACUUCAGGGGAUGCUUCUGGCAAAACUUCAUCCCCAUAUAGACAGAAAAAUGAGUGUUUCCACUGUGCUGUUAUUCAAGAGUGAAAAAGACUGCCUGCCUAGAUGUUAAACUGACUGCCUGCCAUGAAAUCUCAAUACUGUUCAGUGAAUUAAAGACUUUGUAUUUCCAAAAAGGUACAUGCCAAUUUCAAAUACAUUACUGCAGAGGGGAGUAAUAAAUUUAGCCAAUGGUAGCCA
rnacentral:lncRNA from 1 species